UGGGGAAUAUUGCACAAUGGACGGAAGUCUGAUGCAGCAACGCCGCGUGCGGGAUGACGGCCUUCGGGUUGUAAACCGCUUUUUCUCAUGACGAAGUUUUUUGACGGUAGUGGGGGAAGAAGCACCGGCUAACUACGUGCCAGCAGCCGCGGUGAUACGUAGGGUGCGAGCGUUGUCCGGAAUUAUUGGGCGUAAAGAGCUUGUAGGCGGUUUGUCGCGUCGAUAGUGCAAACUCAGUGCUUAACGCUGAGCCUGCUGUUGAUACGGGCAGACUAGAGGAAGGUAGGGGAGAAUGGAAUUCCCGGUGGAGCGGUGGAAUGCGCAGAUAUCGGGAGGAACACCGGUGGCGAAGGAGGUUCUCUGGGCCUUUCCUGACGCUGAGAAGCGAAAGCGUGGGGAGCGAACAGG
rnacentral:rRNA from 1 species